rnacentral:rRNA from 1 species
ACGAACGCUGGCGGCGUGCCUUAGACAUGCAAGUCGAGCGAGGGCUUCGGCCCUAGCGGCGAACGGCGGAGUAAUGCAUAAGCAACGUGCCCCAAAGACUGGGAUAGUGGAGGGAAACCACCGGUAAUACCAGAUGUGGCCCUCUGAUGGCAUCAUUAGAGGAUUAAACCGAGCAAUCGGCUUUGGGAGCGGCUUAUGUCCUAUCAGCUUGUUGGUAAGGUAACGGCUUACCAAGGCUACGACGGGUAGGGGGUCUGAGAGGAUGAUCCCCCCGAGUGGGACUGCGACACGGCCCACACACCUACGGGUGGCAGCAGUUUGGAAUAUUGCACAAUGGAGGAAACUCUGAUGCAGCGACGCCGCGUGGAGGAUGACGGAUCUAGGUCUGUAAACUCCUUUUGCCAGGAAAGACUUAGGACGGUACCUGGCGAAUAAGCCCCGGCUAACUACGU